rnacentral:rRNA from 1 species
AAUAACAAUACAGGGCUUAAAGUCUUGUAAUUGGAAUGAUGGGAAUCUAAACCCUUCCCAGAGUAUCAAUUGGAGGGCAAGUCUGGUGCCAGCAGCCGCGGUAAUUCCAGCUCCAAUAGCGUAUAUUAAAGUUGUUGCAGUUAAGAAGCUCGUAGUUGAAUUUCUGCCUUGUCAUUAAUCUCGCUUCCGAGCGUUUUUUUAUUGACUUGGCAUCUUCUGGAUUUGGUGCCUUCGGGUACUAUUUUCCAGGAUUUACUUUGAGAAAACUAGAGUGUUUCAAACAGGCAUUUGCCUUGAAUACUACAGCAUGGAAUAAUGAAGUAGGACUUUGGUUCUAUUUUGUUGGUUAUUGAGCCAGAGUAAUGGUUAAUAGGAGCA